UGGCAGGGUAAACCCCACCCGGAGCAAGACCAAAUAGGGAUCCGUUGGCGUGGCCCGCGCUGGAUCCGGGUAGGUUGCUAGAGGUUUGUGGCGACGCAAACCCGAGAUGAAUGACUGUCCACGACAGAACCCGGCUUAUCGACCGGUCCACCUU
rnacentral:RNase_P_RNA from 1 species